GAGAACCUCUACGAUAGUGACCCUUUUUACCAUUGGUAAUAAGGGAACUUGAAUAAGAGGCCUGACUCUGAGGUGCCUGACGCAUUUCCAACCCGCUAUAAUUAGACGCCGCAGCCGGUUGGGUAGCUGCGCGUGUCGGCCAUGAGGUAGGGCAGUGGCAGUAGACCGUUUCUCGCUAAAAAGUGGCGUUUGCCGGAUCGUUUAGCCAGCCCUACCGUGGCGCGACACCCGACCGAGGAGAAAGGGGUCAGAGAUGGCCCCGCCGUCCCUUCUUUAUUUUCUGUAUAACACUAUAUUAAAAAAAAAAGAGCGGACCGGCGGACAGGCGAGUUGCUGCGCUAUACUGCUCUAGUCACCGAACUGGGUAGUGCGUGGUAGCCGUUGGUGGUCCGCGUCGGUUAAACCGCAAUGGGAAAUCUCGAAUUGAAAAAGAUGGCUUGUGGCGAGUAGGUCGGUCACCCACCCGACCCGUCUUGAAACACGGACCAAGGAGUCUAACAUGUGCGCAAGUCAUGGGGUCUUGUUUAGGCCCAGAGGCGUAAUGAAAGUGAGACAUAGCUUCUUCUUAGAGGAAUAUAUAUUAAGUUGGGAUUUCCCGAGGAGUUGGAAGCCCGGGAAAGCACCAACGACCCGCCCUAGUACUAUGAUUUAAUUAUAAAGUGUGGACGGCGUUAGAGCGCACACGUUGGGACCCGAAAGAUGGUGAACUAUGCCUGGGCAGGACGAAGCCAGAGGAAACUCUGGUGGAGGUCCGCAGCG
rnacentral:rRNA from 1 species